UUGUAAAGUGGCGCACGGGUGAGUAACACGUGGGUAAUCUGCCCUUGAGUUUGGGAUAACCCCGCGAAAGCGGGGCUAAUACCGAAUAAGACCACGGAGACCAAAGUCUCUGAGGUAAAAGGUGGCCUCUAUUUAUAAGCUACCACUUGAGGAUGAGCCCGCGGCCCAUUAGCUAGUUGGCGGGGUAAUGGCCCACCAAGGCUAUGAUGGGUAGCUGGUCUGAGAGGACGAUCAGCCACACUGGAACUGAGACACGGUCCAGACUCCUACGGGAGGCAGCAGUGGGGAAUAUUGCGCAAUGGGCGAAAGCCUGACGCAGCAACGCCGCGUGGGGGAUGAAGGUUUUCGGAUUGUAAACCCCUUUCGAUCGGAACGAAUCUCCUCUUGGUAAACAAUCAGGAGGAUCGACGGUACCGAGAGAAGAAGCCACGGCUAACUCUGUGCCAGCAGCCGCGGUAAGACAGAGGUGGCGAGCGUUGUUCGGAUUUAUUGGGCGUAAAGCGAACGCAGGUGGUUUGGUAAGUCAGGGGUGAAAGUCCGCAGCUUAACUGCGGCACUGCCUUUGAUACUGCCUUUCUUGAGUGCAUGAGGGGGAAGCGGAAUUCCGAGUGUAGAGGUGAAAUUCGUAGAUAUUCGGAGGAACACCGGUGGCGAAGGCGGCUUCCUGGCAUGUAACUGACACUCAUGUUCGAAGCGUGGGUAGCAAACAGGAUUAGAUACCCUGGUAGUCCACGCCCUAAACGAUGGGCACUAGGUGUGGGAGGUAUCGACCCCUUCCGUGCCGCAGCUAACGCAUUAAGUGCCCCGCCUGGGGAGUACGGCCGCAAGGUUGAAACUCAAAGGAAUUGACGGGGGCCCGCACAAGCGGUGGUGCAUGUGGUUUAAUUCGACGC
rnacentral:rRNA from 1 species